AUGCUGACUUGGCAGCACAGAUACUAAAAUUAGAGUGAUACAGAGAAGAUUAGCAUGGCCCCUGCAUAAGGAUGACACACAGAUCCUGAAGUGUUUCCUACUUUGU